GAAAUGAAGUGAUGCAUCUCAACACCUUUUUGACAGGAGUAAGUAUAAUUGUGUACUCUUUAUAUAAGUAAAUAUGCUGGAAGGAGACGUGAAAAAAGGAGACCUCUCGAGGAAUAAAAGUGGAAUAGAGGUCCAAGUUUGGAUCACAUUCAGAAAUAUUAUUCCAGUAAUAUGUUACUAAGGAUAAUGUUGGAUCAUCUGGGACACCAAACUCACACUAAACUCACAGUCUUGUUGGUCUCAGGAUUUUGCAGUAAGGGUGUGCAAACUUUUGCACUCCACUGUAAUUAUAUUAUGGUAAUAGUAGUAUAAUAAUCAUGCUAUUACAGUAUUAUUAACAUCUCUAUAUGCUAUAGAGAAGCCUUUAAAUUGUCUACCAUGAUUGUGCUACAGUGGCUGCUGCUGACACAUUGCGCAUGCGCACGGCGGAUCCGGCUCUGUGGCGCUCAUACUUUCACUUUCACUUUGUUGUCUUGGGAAACGAAGACGUAAAAGAGCUACUAAAGAAAAUAUAAACUAUAGAUAGAACUUACUAAAGAAAAAAAUACAACGAUUUUGAAUAUAAAAAGUGUAAAACACAGAGAGCUGCCGUAGUGCCGUCGCCGAAAUGACGUCACGACGCCGUUGCGUCAAACCCGGAAGUGUAAAUAAGGAAGAGAGGAUGUUUUUGUCGCUAAACUCGAUGUGGUGUUUUAAUUGCGGUAAUUAAUUAAUGAUUGAAUGAGUUUUACAGUAACUUUACAGCCAUGGUGUGUUUGUCUCGCAGUGUUUGUGUAAUGUGUCUUCUCGGGUGUGGUGUAAUGGCGGCGCUAACAGCACGAGCGCUUUUAACCGGAAUGGCGCAUGACGUGUUCCUGGCUCUCUGCGCCGUAGCUCUGAGUGUCGCCGUCGCGCUCUGGGGCGAGUGUGUGACGGGAGGCAGGCGCAGUGUGUUCAGCGUCGUGCGUCACUACCUGUCCGUUAGGUGCGUGAGUCGAGCGGGGAGACGGCAGAGAGACGCGCUGGAGAGAGACACGCUGUGUGUGCGGAGAGUGCAGGAGGAGACGCUGCUCAGACGGCUGAGAGACGCGAAACACACACAAUAUGGACUCCAGUAUCAAUUCAGUUCUAUCACAGACGCAACGGAUUUCCGAAAGCGUCAUCCCGUCACCACAUACGAUCAUUACGAGGAGCUCAUACGGCGAGUCGCCUCCGGAGAGGAAAAGGCCGUUGUCAUGGAGACGCCCAUCCUAACGAUGACCUCAGGGUCAUCAGGAUGCAGCAAGAUGCUCCUGAUCACCAAAGAAACCAACAGUGACUACUUCUUACAGGGCGUGUCAGUGUGUGUAGAUGUCAUGAGGAAAGCUUUCCCGGGUAUAACGAGUCUCCAGACGACCUUCAGACUGUUUUACCCAUCGGCUGAACGUUACUCUGAGGCAGGACUUCGAAUCGUUGCGACGCCGUUUUAUUCCGAACACACACACCACCUCUGCACGAGUCCCACCGCCAUCUUACAGGUGCAGAAUGAGCGUGAUGCUCUGUACCUUCACCUGCUCUUCGCCCUGAGGGAUCGUCAUGUCGGCACCCUGGAGUCCAGGUUCUCAUCCGCGCUGUUGGACGCCUUCAGACUCCUGGAGGAGCAUUGGGAGGAGCUGGUUGAUGACGUGGAAUCGGGUCGGAUCAGCUCGAGGCUUCUUCUGGAUGCUCAGUUCAGGUCGGAGCUGGAAAAGCGAACGAAGCCGGAUCCUGUCAGAGGCGCAGAACUCAGGACUGCCAUCGCCGAGGGCUUCGAAGGCGUCGCUCUCAGACUGUGGCCUCGUCUACACCUGAUUCACACCGUCGACUCAGGGCCACAUCAGAUUUAUGGAGAGAGUCUCAGACAGCACUACUGCAAGGGCGUGCCCUUCUAUUCUCCGCUCUACGCCGCCUCAGAAGGUCUGAUCGGAGUGAAUCUUUGGCCGCUCCAGGACAGGAGACGUUACCUGCUCUGUCCUCGCUCCAUGUUCUUCGAGUUUCUACCAGAGGAACAUUUAGACGCACAACACACACUCAGCACACUCGACACACUGCUCAUGGACGAGGUGGAAGAGGGGAAGAACUACGAGCCAAUCGUCACCAACGCCUCGGGACUGUUCAGGUAUCGCCUUGGAGACGUAGUGAAAGUGGUCGGGUUUCACAACCAGUGUCCGGUGGUGGAGUUUCUUUACAGACCCAGUCAGACGCUAAACGUUCGAGGUGAAAAAGUGAACGAAGCCUUGUUUUUAGCCGCUCUAAAGAAAGCGGUGACACAGUGGCCCGGCGCUAAACUGGUGGAUUACUGCUGUGCUGAGAGUGGAAUUCUGGGUGCAGAAACCAGUGCAAAAACUGAAGAUGCAUACGUGUCUUGGCUGAUCCUGUUUUCCUGCCAAGAACAGGAAACAACGACCAAAUAAGGAAAGCGGAAACCAAGCUAAGUCUGAAACAAAAAAGACAGUGCAGUACAGCACAAAAAACAAACUCUAACUCUAAUGCUAGCACAACACAAUCACUUGGCAUUUAAUCACUUGAACAUGAAGAUGCUAGCUAGAAUAACGUUCUAUGAGAGAACUUCACACCUCAGAUGUGGUUUUGUCGAGAGCGCAAACACGACACUUCAUCACCAGAGAAGAUAAAGAUGAUGGCUCGGUCAUGGCUAUGAUCGUUUUGUGUUUGUCGUGUUGCAGGAGACUCGUCAGGAGGAGCUCAGCCUCAUUUCCAGGUCUUCGUGGAGCUGCGAGGUGUCAGGAACCUCACCGAGGAGCAGCGGUAUAAGUUGGACGUGUGUCUGCAGGCCGACUGCGCCGUCUACAGGUCGUUCCGGAUCAAAGGCAGC